rnacentral:rRNA from 1 species
CCUACGGGAGGCAGCAGUGGGGAAUAUUGCACAAUGGGGGAAACCCUGAUGCAGCGAAGCAGCGUGAGUGAAGAAGUACUUCGUUAUGUAAAGCUCUAUCAGCAGGGAAGAAAAUGACGGUACCUGAGUAAGAAGCCACGGCUAACUACGUGCCAGCAGCCGCUGUAAUACGUAGGGGGCAAGCGUUAUCCGGAUUUACUGGGUGUAAAGGGAGCGUAGACGGCAGUGCAAGUCUGGAGUGAAAGGCGGGGGCUCAACCCCCGGACUGCUCUUGAAACUGUACGGCUUGAGUGCAGGAGAGGUAAGUGGAAUUCCUAGUGUAGCGGUGAAAUGCGUAGAUAUUAGGAGGAACACCAGUGGCGAAGGCGGCUUACUGGACUGUAACUGACAUUGAUGCUCGAAAGUGUGGGUAUCAAACAGGAUUAGAUACCCUGGUAGUC